rnacentral:rRNA from 1 species
AUUGAACGCUGGCGGCAGGCCUAACACAUGCAAGUCGAACGAGCGGCGGACGGGUGAGUAAUGUCUGGGAAACUGCCCGAUGGAGGGGGAUAACUACUGGAAACGGUAGCUAAUACCGCAUACUGUCGGAUGUGCCCAGAUGGGAUUAGCUAGUAGGUGAGGUAAAGGCUUACCUAGGCGACGAUCCCUAGCUGGUCUGAGAGGAUGACCAGCCACACUGGGACUGAGACACGGCCCAGACUCCUACGGGAGGCAGCAGUGGGGAAUAUUGCACAAUGGGCGCAAGCCUGAUGCAGCCAUGCCGCGUGUAUGAAGAAGGCCUUAGGGUUGUAAAGUACUUUCAGCCGGGAGGCGUUACCCGCAGAAGAAGCACCGGCUAACUCCGUGCCAGCAGCCGCGGUAAUAC